rnacentral:rRNA from 1 species
GUGGGGAAUAUUGGACAAUGGGCGCAAGCCUGAUCCAGCCAUGCCGCGUGAGUGAUGAAGGCCCUAGGGUUGUAAAGCUCUUUCAGUGGGGACGAUAAUGACGGUACCCACAGAAGAAGCCCCGGCUAACUUCGUGCCAGCAGCCGCGGUAAUACGAAGGGGGCUAGCGUUGUUCGGAUUUACUGGGCGUAAAGCGCACGUAGGCGGAUCGUUAAGUCGAGGGUGAAAUCCUGGAGCUCAACUCCAGAACUGCCUUCGAUACUGGCGAUCUUGAGUCCGGAAGAGGUGAGUGGAACUCCUAGUGUAGAGGUGGAAUUCGUAGAUAUUAGGAAGAACGCCAGUGGCGAAGGCGGCUCACUGGUCCGGUACUGACGCUGAGGUGCGAAAGCGUGGGGAGCAAACAGGAUUAGAUACCCCGGUAGUCC